UACAGAGGUCUCAAGCGUUGUUCGGAUUCAUUGGGCGUAAAGGGUGCGUAGGUGGCGCGGUAAGUCGGGUGUGAAAUCUCGGAGCUUAAUUCCGAAAUUGCAUUCGAUACUGCCGUGCUUGAGGACUGGAGAGGAGACUGGAAUUCAUGGUGUAGCAGUGAAAUGCGUAGAGAUCAUGAGGAAGACCAGUGGCGAAGGCGGGUCUCUGGACAGUUCCUGACACUGAGGCACGAAGGCCAGGGGAGCAAACGGG
rnacentral:rRNA from 1 species